AGCUAAUGGCAUUAAGCGUAGCAAGAGCGGAUAAUUGUUUAUUUUAUUUAAACAAACAGCUAUGGCUGCCUAAAUGACUUUUAAAGCCAAUAAAACAGAAAAAAAGACGCUUAUUGUUUCCUUGAUAUGUAAAUGAUGCAUCGGUGCUUUAGAAUAACCAGAAACCUAAUUUCGACUUUUUUAUGGUCAACGACUCGAUAAACAAAGUAUCCCAGUACAACAAGUCAUCAUCGUCUAAUUGAAGAUAAGUGAAAUUUUCGAAGCGACACGUGUCAAUAAUAGAUAAGUGGUUCAGUCACUCAACCUUGGUGUAAAAAAAAAUUCCAAUUAUUUCACAUGUCAGCGCAUCCUUUUGGUGCUCGAUGGCGAGUUUCUCUGCUUUUGUAUUUUUAAACGGAAUGGGGUGUGAUGCAACAGUUAUGGUGCGGUCGGUUGUUCUCAGAUGACUCGAUCAGCAAAUGGUAAAUACUGUUGCAG